GUGGCUUGGAGGUGGGCAGGAGACCGG
rnacentral:piRNA from 1 species